rnacentral:rRNA from 1 species
ACAGCAGUCGCCACGGUAAUACGAAGGGGGCUAGCGUUGUUCGGAUUUACUGGGCGUAAAGCGCACGUAGGCGGAUCGAUCAGUCAGGGGUGAAAUCCCAGAGCUCAACUCUGGAACUGCCUUUGAUACUGUCGAUCUGGAGUAUGGAAGAGGUGAGUGGAAUUCCGAGUGUAGAGGUGAAAUUCGUAGAUAUUCGGAGGAACACCAGUGGCGAAGGCGGCUCACUGGUCCAUUACUGACGCUGAGGUGCGAAAGCGUGGGGAGCAAACAGGAUUAGAUACCCGCGUAGUCCCUGUCUCUUAUAC